AUGGGAACGCGAAGAACCUUACCUAGACUUGACAUCUCCUGAAUAGUGUAGAGAUACAUGAAGCCCUUCGGGGCAGGAAGACAGGUGGUGCAUGGUUGUCGUCAGCUCGUGUCGUGAGAUGUUGGGUUAAGUCCCGCAACGAGCGCAACCCUUAUUACUAGUUGCUACCAUUAAGUUGAGCACUCUAGUGAGACUGCCCGGGGUUAACCGGGAGGAAGGCGGGGAUGACGUCAAAUCAUCAUGCCCCUUAUGUCUAGGGCAACACACGUGCUACAAUGGUGAGUACAGAUAGAUGCGAUACCGCAAGGUGGAGCUAAACUCUAAAACUCAUCCCAGUUCGGAUUGUAGGCUGCAACUCGCCUACAUGAAGUUGGAGUUGCUAGUAAUCGCGAAUCAGAAUGUCGCGGUGAAUACGUUCCCGGGUCUUGUACACACCG
rnacentral:rRNA from 1 species